UUUUGUACAAUAUUCACAACUCAAACACAUGAUAUAUUUUAUAAUUUUAAUUAUAAUAGAACUAACUUAUUAUAGAAAUAUCAAUGAGACAAAGAUGUUCUUGCUGGGAAUGCUCUGGGGUGCAUUCCCAGCAAGAACAAUGCAGAGGGUAAGUGUCCAUUGCAUUUCCAAACAAACUUUCACUGACCACAGACCAUGAGAUUACUGGGUUGAAAAGCGUCAUGAAUUUUGAGCAUGGUGGUUUCAGCUGGUGCCGGGUUGGCACACAGAAACUCACACAAAUCCUUGCAGCUGUUUUAACUGGCACCUGGAAUGCCUGGGAGACAGAGCUGCCCAUUAAACUGAAAGGGAGUGGGCAGAGACAGGGAGCCAGAUGGCCUGGCUUAGCAGGUACCACCCCCACAAAACACGCAAUCUGAAACUCUCUGGAUUGAGAGUUUCACAGCAAGUGCAGCUGGACCCAGGAAGGUCCAGCUCAGUGGGGGGAAGGGUGACCACCAUUACCGAGGCAGUUCACACUGCAGCUGGGCAGAGCCUGUGGCAACUCAGCAACACCCCUGCUGGCAGACUGUGACUAGACUACUCCGUGCAGGGCAGGACAUCUAUGAAAAAGGCAGCAGCACAACAGGAACUUAUAAAUAAAGCUGACCUUCCUUUGACAGAGCACCUGUGAAAAGAGGUGGUUAUGAGUUUCACUGCUACAGACUUAAAAGUACCUGCCCAGCAGCUCUGCAUGGAACAACGGAGCUCCCAGCACAGGACUUGAGCGCCUAAAAGGGACAGACUGUCUCAUCAAGCAGCUACCCGACCCCCAUAUACCCAAAGAAACACGUCGUAAAGGAGAGCUCAGGCCGACAUCUAGAGGGUACCCUUCUGGGAAGAAGAUAACAGAAGUAGAACCUGGCAGCAACCCUUACUGCUCUGCAGCCCCCGCAGGUGAUCCCCAGUCAAGCAGGGUCUGGAGUGGACCUCCAGAAGUCCUGCAGCAGAGGGACCUGACUGUUAGAAGGAAAACAAAGAAACAGAAAGAAAUAACUUCAUUAUCAACACAAAGGACAUCCACUCAGAGACCCAUCUGAAAGUCACCAACUACAAAGACCACAGGUAGAUAAAUCCACAAAGAUAGGAAGAAACCAGUGCAAAAAGGAUGAAAACACCAAAAACCAGAACGCCUCUCCUCCUCCAAAGGAUCACAACUCCUCACCAGCUAGGGAUCAAAGAUGGUUGGAGAAUGAAUCUGAUGAAUUGACAGAAACAGGCUUCAGAAGGUGGGUAAUAACAAACUUUGUGUCCUUCGUAGGGACAUGGAUGAGUCUGGAAACCAUAAUUCUCAGCAAACUGACACAAGAACAGAAAAUCAAACACUGUCUAUACAUUCUCACUCAUAAUUGGGUGUUGAACAAUGAGACCACAUGGACACAGGGAUGGGAGCAUCACACACUAGGGUCUGCUGGGGGGGUCCAAGGGAGGGACAGUGGAGGGGAUAUAGACAUCGGAGAGGGAUAACAUGGGGUCAAAUGUCAGAUGUAGGUGUAGGUGACGGGGAGUUGGAGGCAGCAAACCACAUUGUGUACCUAUGCAACAAUCCUGCAUGCUUUGCACAUGUACCCCAGAACCUAAAGUACAAUUUAAAAAGAAGAAAUAUCAGUAAGACAAUGUCAAAUGUGCAAAGGAUCUGAACAAUUUAUUCACAGAAAGUAUAAGUGCUUGUUGAAUAUUUUAAUGGAAGCUCCACCUCAUUCAUAACAAGAGAAAAUCAAUAUGAUACUAUUAGUCAACCCUCGUUUUGUGAAAAUUUGGAAAGUUUAAUUAUACUCUAUUUUAGAAAUGGUUUGAUGAAACAUAAACUCUUGUACAGUUCUGAUGGAAGUGAAUAUUGGUACAACCACUAUGAAAAGCAAUGUGUUAACAUUCAUCAAAAUAGCAAAUUCACUGAAUAAUUGACCUCACAAUUAGACUUCUAGGAAUGUACAGCAAAGAUAUGCCUAUGUAUAUGUGAACUGAUUAUGCACAAGUUUACUCAUUGUAGAAAUUUUUGUAAUGGCAAACUAUCCAGAAAUAAUAUAAAUGACCAUUAAGGGGAAUGGUCAAAUGAUGUGAUGAUUAGCAUUAUGUAUCCACUCGGAUAGGCUAUGAUUACCAGCAGUUUGGUCAAACACCAGUCUAGAUAUUACCGUGAAAGUAUAUUUUAGAUGUAGUUAACAUUUAAAUGUGUAGAUUUUGAGUGAAGCAGAUAGUCCUUCAUAAUGAAAGUCAGCCUCAUUCAAUCAGUUGAGGGAUUUAAGAGAAAAAAUUGAGGUCACUUCAAGAGGAAGGAAUUCUGCUUCUACUCUACCUUUGAACUCAAGGCAUUAACUUCUUGCCAGCUGAUAAAUAAGUCUGUUUAUUGGGAGAACACUAAUGGAUGCAAAUAAAUUAUAAAUACAUUUUACAAAUGAGUUAUAAAUGCAUAAAUGGCAUGGUCUUCGGCCAUAGAAACAACACACAAAAGCCCAGCAUAGAGAAAUGGGAAGAAUUGCUAUAUAUAACAUGCAGAUAUGCUAUUACAAUACAAGCCUUUAUAUAUUGAGUGUGAGAUGAUUAUCAUAGGUAAUUAGUGAUUAGUUCUAUAGUAAAUGAGAAGAAGUAGUUGCUAAGACCAGGGCUAUCAUAUAAUUAAUUGAGAGUAAAAAUUUGGAUGCUGAGAGGAGUGAGGAAUGUUAAUUCUAGGUAAAGAAAACAACUGGAGAAGUGCAAGCCUGGGAACAGGAAAUCUUAUCCCAAGGCGAUUGUAACUUAUUGGCAUGCUCUAAAGAGAGUUUUUCUCUGAAAGGAGCAGCAGGGCUGAUAGGGGGAGGUCAGGCAAGACCGAAUGACUGGGGCCUUGAAUCCAGAAGCUGUGUCUGGGCAUGUGGAAAUGAGAAGUCUCCAACAUUUAUAAACCGAAGUUGACUUAAUGCAAGACUGCCAGGCUUUUUAACUAGGGGGCAAGUGAGAACUCAUGGAUUAGUGUAACUGGUGGAUUCCUGCAUUCUGUCCUCAUAACUGCCCUGUGCAAACUUUCACUAGGGCCUUGAUGAAGGGGUAAAGGUCUAGCUGCUGUACUAAAAACUAAAAGGGUUUUCCCUGUAUUUUUUUGGUGAUAAGCUCUUAUGUGAUCUGAACUCAUGAGUGUAAACCCUGAAUGAACUAAUGUGAGUCUCUUUCUUGUCUUUAUUGAUCCAGCUUACUAUAAAGAUCCUAAUCUUUGCUGAACAAAUACUAAUGAAUCAGCUUAUAGGGUGCUACCCUAGACAUCACUGGAGUGUUGACAAUGCAGUUUGUUCUACCAUAAUGAUGUCUUAUUAAAAUUGUGCACAUGCAAAAGGCUUAUAUACGAAAUUUCCAGAUGCCAUGAAGGAGGGUAGAGCAGUGAGUUCGUUUGCUUAUAAAAUUGGGCUCUGACAACGUCCCUGCAGGCUUGAGCAAUGAACUAGAUCUAACAAGAUGAAGUUCAACAUGUGUUCUUGUAUCUCAGAGAUAGUAACUAUACAAAAUGUCCUUGAGCCUGGAUAGACUCAGCUCACUCACCAGAAUCCAAUACAGUGUGACUCAGCCUAGACGUCCUGAACAGUCCCUGGACUCCAAACCAUCUUAGACCUCCCCUCUGUCAAAAGCUUCACCUAUUGACUUUGAAAGACCAGGACAGGGUCAACUGUGUUCUACAGACUUGGAAUUACGAUUGCAAUGGCAUUGCCUUCCCUACAAAAUAUUUACAGUUGCUGUAGAGACAACAAAGCUGUACCACAAAUGUUGAUGUAGGUGCAGGAAAUUAAAAGCACACGAUUAAAAGAAAAAUGCAAAAGGCUUUCUUGAAAAGAAAGACAAGCUGUACGUGCUUUAUCAAUUUCAUCUGAAAGUCUGUUUUGACCUGCUGCUUUAUUUAACCCUGUGCUGAGUACUGCAUAUGGGACAUUGCAAACUGAUGUCAUUUGAGAUGUGUUAGGACCAUCACCUGGUAAUUACCUUCUUGGACGAUAAUAUUUCAUGGUAAAUAAACAAUGAUCUCUAGAGAGUACUUGUUUUUAGAAAGAAUUGAGAGAGCAGUACAGUACUGAAAAAGUCUGGAAAACGAAUACAAUGUAUCAAAAUGUUAGCUAAAGUAUUUUCUGUCUUUCUGGACGAGAUGAGUGGGAAAGAGAAGGGUUGUCAUUGGCCUUUAGUUUUUUGUUGCUGAGUAAGUGAAAAGAAAUGGAAAAUGAGAUUCUUCCAAUUUCAAACUGUUACAAUAUGGUUACUUACAUGCCCUACAGAGAAUUCCUGAAGGCACGAACCCAGUCACAGAUUGGUACACAUCAGCAUUUUGCAUAAAAGGAAAACAUCCAUAUCUGACUCAAACAACAAUGAAAUCAAUACAGAAACAUUUCCAGAGAAGUCCUGCAGGUUUUUUAUGCAUUUAUAGCUAGUAUAUCGUGCAAAAAAAUCUUCUGACUGUUUAAUAAAUCAACUUUAGAUCCACAAUUCCUGAACUUCCCUGAUUUUCUUUAUCAUCACCCAGAGAGCGCCCUGAAGAUAGGGAAGUCACAUUUGUUUCCCCUACUGUUUCUAUCCUUAUUAGAUGGUUUAUCUCUCUGCUGGUUUUUUGAUAGGUUUGAAUACAGGGGUUAAAUUCAUGUCUUAUAGUAGCUCUACCACACAGCCUCCUCCAAAGCUUGCAGAAUAUUAUGAAAAGAGCAUCUGUCAACUCCAGGGCCAAAAUGCUACCCUCAGCUGUCUGCCUUGGCCCAGACCUCUCUGUCAAUAGAAUUGUGCUCAUCCUCAGAACUGCAUUUGAUUUUCUUUACCAUUGAAUGUCUGACUACCUACUUGAAUUAAGUAAUUAUUUUAGAUACUACAAAAAAUAUACCUGAAAUGAUUUUGCAAGUAUGUUUAAAACAAUGUUUAUGUACCUUCAAUAAAAUCUGAAUAUUAUUUAAACUUUUGGUGGAGCAGAAAUCUACUACUUCAAAUAUGUUUGUAAAGACCGGAUGUGAUGUUUCUAAGAAAAGUGAAACUUUUAUAUAAAUUUUACUGGCCCAUCAUAAUGAAGAUGUUAGCAUUAGAUAAGAAGGAAGUAAUAUUUUCCUCCUAAUAACUGUCUAGCCAUGGUCUAUAAGCAGAACAAAGAA